rnacentral:rRNA from 1 species
UGGGGAAUCUUAGACAAUGGGCGCAAGCCUGAUCUAGCCAUGCCGCGUGAGCGAUGAAGGCCUUAGGGUUGUAAAGCUCUUUCAGGGGGGAAGAUAAUGACUGUACCCCCAGAAGAAGCCCCGGCUAACUCCGUGCCAGCAGCCGCGGUAAUACGGAGGGGGCUAGCGUUGUUCGGAAUUACUGGGCGUAAAGCGCACGUAGGCGGACUGGAAAGUUGGGGGUGAAAUCCCGGGGCUCAACCCCGGAACUGCCUUCAAAACUUCCGGUCUUGAGGUCGGGAGAGGUGAGUGGAAUUCCGAGUGUAGAGGUGAAAUGCGUAGAGAUUGGGAGGAACACCAGUGGCGAAGGCGACUUACUGGGCCGUAACUGACGUUGAUGUGCGAAAGCGUGGGGAGCGAACA